rnacentral:rRNA from 1 species
GACGAACGCUGGCGGCGUGGAUUAGGCAUGCAAGUCGAGCGAUAUCUUACCUUCGGGUAAGUGAAAGCGGCGAACGGGUGAGUAACACGUGAAUAACCUACCCUCACAUUCCGGAUAAUAGACCGAAAGGUCUUGUAAUACGGGCGAGGAUUUCUCUUAGGCAUCUUAGAGAAAGGGAAGGCGCAAGCCGUGCGAGGAGG